rnacentral:rRNA from 1 species
ACAUGCCUACAACAUGGUUUUAAUGCAUCGGAUCCCAUUAGAAAUCUACAGUUAAGCGUGCUUGGGCUAGAGUAGUACUAGGAUGGGUGAGCACUCAGGAAGUCCCAAUGUUUUACAUGCC